CCCCUGGACAAAGACUGACGCUCAGGUGCGAAAGCGUGGGGAGCAAACAGGAUUAGAUACCCUGGUAGUCCACGCCGUAAACGAUGUCGAUUUGGAGGUUGUGCCCUUGAGGCGUGGCUUCCGGAGCUAACGCGUUAAAUCGACCGCCUGGGGAGUACGGCCGCAAGGUUAAAACUCAAAUGAAUUGACGGGGGCCCGCACAAGCGGUGGAGCAUGUGGUUUAAUUCGAUGCAACGCGAAGAACCUUACCUGGUCUUGACAUCCACAGAACUUUCCAGAGAUGGAUUGGUGCCUUCGGGAACUGUGAGACAGGUGCUGCAUGGCUGUCGUCAGCUCGUGUUGUGAAAUGUUGGGUUAAGUCCCGCAACGAGCGCAACCUUAUCCUUUGUUGCCAGCGGUUCGGCCGGGAACUCAAAGGAGACUGCCAGUGAUAAACUGGAGGAAGGUGGGGAUGACGUCAAGUCAUCAUGGCCUUACGACCAGGCUACAC
rnacentral:rRNA from 1 species